CCUACGGGUCGCACCAGUGGGGAAUAUUGUACAAUGGGCGCAAGCCUGAUCCAGCCAUGCCGCGUGUGUGAAGAAGGCCUUUUGGUUGUAAAGCACUUUAGGCGAGGAGGUGGCUACUUGGAUUAAUACUCUAGGAUAGUGGACGUUACUCGCAGAAUAAGCACCGGCUAACUCUGUGCCAGCAGCCGCGGUAAUACAGAGGGUGCGAGCGUUAAUCGGAUUUACUGGGCGUAAAGCGUGCGUAGGCGGCUUUUUAAGUCGGAUGUGAAAUCCCUGAGCUUAACUUAGGAAUUGCAUUCGAUACUGGGAAGCUAGAGUAUGGGAGAGGAUGGUAGAAUUCCAGGUGUAGCGGUGAAAUGCGUAGAGAUCUGGAGGAAUACCGAUGGCGAAGGCAGCCAUCUGGCCUAAUACUGACGCUGAGGUACGAAAGCAUGGGGAGCAAACAGGAUUAGAUACCCGGGUAGUC
rnacentral:rRNA from 1 species